rnacentral:rRNA from 1 species
ACUGGGCUUAAAGCGCAUGUAGGCGGCUUUGCAAGCGUCUUGUGAAAUCCCCCGGCUCAACCGGGGAACUGCUCGGCGAACUGCAAGGCUUGAGGCAGGCAAGGGUGCGUGGAACUCUUGGUGGAGCGGUGAAAUGCGUAGAUAUCAAGAGGAACGCCGGAGGCGAAAGCGGCGCACUGGGCCUGACCUGACGCUGAGAUGCGAAGGCUAGGGUAGCGAACGGGAUUAGAUACCCCGGUAGUCCUAGCAGUAAACGAUGCCUACUAGGUCGGAGGGCUUCUGACAGCCUUCCGGUCGGAACUAAAGCGUUAAGUAGGCCGCCUGGGGAGUACGGUCGCAAGGCUAAAACUCAAAGGAAUUGACGGGGGCUCACACAAGCGGUGGAGCAUGUUGCUUAAUUCGAUGCAACGCGAAGAACCUUAUCCUGGGUUUGACAUGCUUGGAUGCCCAUCUGGAAACAGAGUAGGCUGCCCUUCGGGGUGAAACUUGCACAGGUGCUGCAUGGCUGUCGUCAGCUCGUGUCGUGAGAUGUUGGGUUAAGUCCCGUAACGAGCGAAACCCUUAUCGCUAGUUGCCAGCGGUCCGGCCGGGGACUCUAGCGAGACUGCCGGUGUUAAACCGGAGGAAGGCGGGGAUGACGUCAAGUCCUCAUGGCCUUUAUGCCCAGGGCUGCAAACGUGCUACAAUGACGGGUACAGACCGACGCAAUACCGCGAGGUGGAGCAAAUCGGACAAAGCCCGCCCCAGUUCGGAUUGGAGUCUGCAACUCGACUCCAUGAAGUUGGAAUCGCUAGUAAUCG